rnacentral:rRNA from 1 species
UACGUAGGGUGCGAGCGUUAAUCGGAAUUACUGGGCGUAAAGCGUGCGCAGGCGGUUCGUUAUGUCCGAUGUGAAAGCCCCGAGCUUAACUUGGGAAUGGCAUUGGAAACUGGCGGGCUGGAGUGCGGCAGAGGGGGGUGGAAUUCCACGUGUAGCAGUGAAAUGCGUAGAGAUGUGGAGGAACACCGAUGGCGAAGGCAGCCCCCUGGGCCGACACUGACUCUCAGGCACGAAAGCGUGGGGAGCAAACAGG